rnacentral:rRNA from 1 species
GGACACUUCAAACUCUUGCGUAACUUUGCAGUCUGAGUAAACUUAAUUAAUAAAUUAAAACUUUUAACAACGGAUCUCUUGGUUCUGGCAUCGAUGAAGAACGCAGCGAAAUGCGAUAAGUAAUGUGAAUUGCAGAAUUCAGUGAAUCAUCGAAUCUUUGAACGCACAUUGCGCCCCCUGGUAUUCCGGGGGGCAUGCCUGUUCGAGCGUCAUUUCACCACUCAAGCCUCGCUUGGUAUUGGGCAACGCGGUCCGCCGCGUGCCUCAAUCGUCCGGCUGGGUCUUCUGUCCCCUAAGCGUUGUGGAAACUAUUCGCUAAAGGGUGUUCGGGAGGCUACGCCGUAAAACAACCCCAUUUCUAAGGUUGACCUCGGAUCAGGUAGGGAUACCCGCUGAACUUAAGCAUAUCAAUAAGCGGAGGAAAAGAAACCAACAGGGAUUGCUCUAGUAACGGCGAGUGAAGCAGCAAUAGCUCAAAUUUGAAAUCUGGCGUCUUCGACGUCCGAGUUGUAAUUUGUAGAGGAUGCUUCUGAGUGGCCACCGACCUAAGUUCCUUGGAACAGGACGUCAUAGAGGGUGAGAAUCCCGUAUGCGGUCGGAAAGGCGCUCUAUACGUAGCUCCUUCGACGAGUCGAGUUGUUUGGGAAUGCAGCUCUAAAUGGGAGGUAAAUUUCUUCUAAAGCUAAAUAUUGGCCAGAGACCGAUAGCGCACAAGUAGAGUGAUCGAAAGAUGAAAAGCACUUUGGAAAGAGAGUUAAAAAGCACGUGAAAUUGUUAAAAGGGAAGGGAUUGCAACCAGACUUGCUCGCGGUGUUCCGCCGGUCUUCUGACCGGUC